ACAGUGUAUACAUCUCACAAAUUUCCUGCCCUCAAAGAGCUUACAGUCUAGUGGGAGAGACAGACAAUGAACAAACAAAGAAACAAGGAAAUAUCAGAUAUACAAUUAAGUGCUGUGAAGGAAAUAGAACAGGGUGAUGUGGCGGGGAGUGGCUGAGGGACUUCCUUAGUUUGUGUGACCUGGAACAGCCUUUCUAAGGCUCUGCAUCAGAUAUCUGACAUGUGAUACCAUAUGGGAGCAGGCUCUGAAAGAACACUACAAGUAGAGAGGUAAAGGCAGGGGCUGCAGCAAGCCUGAUGUGUUCAGGCACUGAGCAGAGAGAGGGCCAGGUGGUCGGGGCUCAGCGAGAGGGGAGCCUCAAAAGAAGUGAGGCUUAGCAGGGCACGGAGCAGUGCGGCCGCAGGUGUGGUGGGAAGGGCAUUCCAGAAGGAGCUACCUGGACACAGUCUUGCAGUCAAGAAACAAUAAGCAAUUAUCACUCCCGGCAUUAUACAUGGCCUUGCCUGAGACCGGGCUGGCCAGGAUCCCUGAGAACCAGGGGGAGGGGUCUGCGGCACCAGGACUGAGUGGAAGGGAGUGUGGAGAAGGGGAAUUGCAGAGAGAAAACCAGGGGCUGUUUUUCUCUCGGAGAGGCGGGUAGGCACUGGGCGGGCAGAAGCGCCGCUAUCCACCCGGAUGCGCAGCUGCUGUCUAAGGGGCCGCCUCUGCAAGCGGCUGCAAAUUCCCGGAGGGCAGCGUCUCCUGUGGCUCUACUGUGUCCGUAGCACAUGGCAGGUACUUGGCCCAUCAAGAGUGAGUGAGGGUGAGGGAGUGAGUGAGUCACCGGCUUGGCGAGGGUCUCCUCUGACCCACUUAGCCUUGCCAGCGCUCAGAACUGCCAGCCCUGCUGGGUGCUUGGGCCUUUUCAAAGCCCUGGGAGUUCUCCAAGGGUCCACAGUAAGUCUUCUGGACCUAAGCGGGACAGAGCGCAGGCCCCUGCGGGGUAGGCUUUUACAUGGCAUUUAUAGACCCGCCCGGAGAGGGUGCGCGGCGCUCCAGCCACAGUCCCACCACCAAUGAGCGCCGCCCCCACUCGGCUGACUCUCCGCCCGCCCCGCGCCCCUCCCCUCACGGGCUCGGGCCUUAACCAGAGCUCGCGGACUGGCGGGGACAGGUCCCACCUCCUGGCUCCCAGGACGGGUCUGCACCAACCUCAGUUUCGGGGCUGCGGCUCACAGAAGUCUAGCCUACCCGGGACGCCCGCACCAACUCCUGCGCGCGGUCCUUCCAACCCUCCUGCUGCCAUGAAGAUUGCAGUGAUUGGACAGAGCCUGUUUGGCCAGGAAGUUUACUGCCACCUGAGGAAGGAGGGCCACGAAGUGGUGGGUGUGUUCACUGUUCCAGACAAGGAUGGGAAGGCCGACCCCCUGGGUCUGGAAGCUGAGAAGGAUGGAGUGCCGGUAUUCAAGUUCUCCCGGUGGCGUGCAAAAGGACAGGCUUUGCCUGAUGUGGUGGCAAAAUACCAGGCUUUGGGGGCUGAGCUCAACGUCCUGCCCUUCUGCAGCCAGUUCAUCCCCAUGGAGAUAAUCAAUGCCCCCCAGCAUGGCUCCAUCAUCUAUCACCCAUCACUGCUCCCUAGGCACCGAGGGGCCUCGGCCAUCAACUGGACCCUCAUUCACGGAGAUAAGAAAGGGGGGUUUUCCAUCUUCUGGGCGGACGAUGGUCUGGACACCGGAGACCUGCUGCUGCAGAAGGAGUGUGAGGUGCUCCCGGACGACACCGUGAGCACGCUGUACAACCGCUUCCUCUUCCCGGAAGGCAUCAAAGGGAUGGUGCAGGCCGUGAGGCUGAUCGCUGAGGGCAAAGCCCCCAGACUCCCUCAGCCUGAGGAAGGAGCCACCUAUGAGGGGAUUCAGAAGAAGGAGUCGGCCAAGAUCAACUGGGACCAGCCGGCAGAGGCCAUUCACAACUGGAUCCGCGGGAAUGACAAGGUGCCAGGAGCCUGGACAGAGGCCGGCGAACAGAAACUGACAUUUUUCAACUCAACGCUGAACACUUCAGGCCUGGUGCCCGAGGGAGACGCUUUGCCCAUCCCAGGAGCCCAUCGGCCAGGGGUGGUCACCAAAGCAGGACUCAUCCUCUUUGGGAAUGAUGACAAAAUGCUGCUGGUGAAGAACAUUCAGCUGGAGAAUGGCAAAAUGAUCCUGGCCUCGAACUUCUUUAAGGGGGCAGCCAGCAGUGCCCUUGAGCUGACGGAGGCAGAGCUGGUUACUGCGGAGGCUGUGCGGAGUGUUUGGCAGCGGAUCCUCCCCAAUGUCCUGGAGGUUGAAGACUCCACUGAUUUCUUCAAGUCAGGGGCCGCAUCUGUGGACGUUGUGAGGCUGGUGGAGGAAGUGAAGGAGCUGUGUGAUGGCCUGGAGUUAGAAAAUGAAGAUGUGUACAUGGCAUCCACCUUUGGGGACUUCAUCCAGCUGUUAGUGAGGAAGCUGCGAGGGGACGAUGAGGAGGGCGAAUGCAGCAUUGACUACGUGGAAAUGGCAGUGAACAAGCGCACCGUCCGCAUGCCCCACCAGCUCUUCAUUGGGGGGGCAUUCGUGGAUGCCGAGGGCGCCAAGACCUCUGAGAGCAUCAAUCCCACUGAUGGAAGUGUCAUCUGCCAGGUAUCCCUGGCCCAAGUCACUGACGUCGACAAGGCAGUGGCUGCAGCCAAGGAUGCCUUUGAGAAUGGACGGUGGGGGAAGAUCAGUGCGCGGGACCGGGGCCGGCUGCUGUACAGGUUGGCAGAUCUCAUGGAGCAGCACCAGGAGGAGCUGGCCACCAUCGAGGCCCUGGAUGCGGGUGCCGUCUACACACUGGCCCUGAAGACCCACGUGGGCAUGUCCAUCCAGACCUUCCGCUACUUUGCCGGCUGGUGUGACAAGAUCCAGGGCUCCACCAUCCCCAUCAACCAGGCCAGACCCAACCGCAACCUGACCUUGACCAGGAAGGAGCCUGUUGGGGUUUGUGGCAUCAUCAUCCCCUGGAACUAUCCCCUGAUGAUGCUGUCCUGGAAGACAGCUGCCUGCCUGGCUGCUGGGAACACAGUGGUGAUCAAGCCUGCUCAGGUGACCCCACUCACAGCCUUGAAGUUUGCAGAGCUGACAUUAAAGGCCGGCAUUCCCAAAGGUGUGGUCAACAUCCUCCCAGGAUCUGGCUCCCUGGUCGGCCAGAGACUCUCAGACCAUCCUGACGUGAGGAAAAUUGGGUUCACAGGCUCCACAGAGGUGGGCAAGCACAUCAUGAAAAGCUGUGCCAUAAGUAACGUGAAGAAGGUGUCCCUGGAACUGGGCGGGAAGUCACCCCUCAUCAUCUUUGCUGACUGUGACCUCAACAAGGCUGUGCAGAUGGGGAUGAGCUCUGUUUUCUUCAACAAAGGAGAGAACUGCAUUGCAGCAGGCCGGCUCUUUGUGGAGGACUCCAUUCAUGAUGAGUUCGUGCGGAGGGUGGUAGAAGAGGUGCGGAAGAUGAAGGUGGGCAACCCGCUGGACAGGGACACCGACCACGGGCCACAGAAUCACCAUGCCCACCUGAUGAAGCUGUUGGAGUACUGCCAGCGUGGCGUGAAGGAAGGGGCCACACUCGUCUGCGGCGGGAAUCAAGUCCCUCGGCCAGAGGCUUCUCGUGCUUUCUUGGGCUCCAUGCAUUUGCUGCUGCUCGGCUUAGUGGAGGCUUUCCAGUGUCCCCACCUGGAGAGCUCCUGCUUCUUCAGCUCACCGGACAUCCAAGCCUGGGCAUGCCCAUGUCACAGGGCACCGGGCACUGCACACCGCAACAGCGCUCUCGUGACCAUUGCACUGCUGCUGUCACUGUCCACUUACCCUCUUUCCACUCCCGCUGGACUGGUUCUUCUUUGAGCCAACUGUUUUCACAGAUGUGGAGGACCACAUGUUCAUAGCCAAGGAGGAGUCCUUCGGGCCUGUCAUGAUCAUCUCUCGGUUUGCUGAUGGGGACGUGGAUGCCGUGCUGUCUCGGGCCAAUGCCACGGAAUUUGGCCUGGCUUCUGGUGUCUUCACCAGGGACAUCAACAAGGCCCUGUAUGUCAGUGACAAGCUCCAGGCAGGCACUGUGUUUGUCAACACGUACAACAAGACCGACGUGGCUGCUCCCUUCGGAGGAUUCAAACAGUCUGGAUUUGGCAAAGAUCUAGGAGAGGCAGCUCUGAAUGAGUACCUGCGGGUCAAGACGGUGACCUUCGAAUACUGAAGAAAGGUCUUUGUGAGAAGAGAGUCCCUGCCCCUCCCUCGCGGCUAGGGCCCCCUCCCUCUUGAGCCUGGGUACACAGCACCUCCCACCUGGGGUGCUAGUGGAAGCCCUCCUGCCUGCACCCCAUGUCUGCAUCUCGGACGCCCUCUGUCCAGUCAGAAGCAGCCCUUGGCUGGGUGAGGCAUGCCCCUCCCGGGGAGAAUAAAGCUUCUGAAGAGAGUC